rnacentral:rRNA from 1 species
UUUAAAGAGAGUUUGAUCCUGGCUCAGGACGAACGCUGGCGGCGUGCCUAAUACAUGCAAGUCGAACGAACGGAGGAAGAGCUUGCUCUUCCAAAGUUAGUGGCGGACGGGUGAGUAACACGUGGGCAACCUGCCUGUAAGUUGGGGAUAACUCCGGGAAACCGGGGCUAAUACCGAAUGAUAAAGUGUGGCGCAUGCCAUGCUUUUGAAAGAUGGUUUCGGCUAUCGCUUACAGAUGGGCCCGCGGUGCAUUAGCUAGUUGGUAGGGUAAUGGCCUACCAAGGCAACGAUGCAUAGCCGACCUGAGAGGGUGAUCGGCCACACUGGGACUGAGACACGGCCCAGACUCCUACGGGAGGCAGCAGUAGGGAAUCUUCCGCAAUGGACGAAAGUCUGACGGAGCAACGCCGCGUGUAUGAAGAAGGUUUUCGGAUCGUAAAGUACUGUUGUUAGAGAAGAACAAGGAUAAGAGUAACUGCUUGUCCCUUGACGGUAUCUAACCAGAAAGCCACGGCUAACUACGUGCCAGCAGCCGCGGUA